rnacentral:lncRNA from 1 species
UGUCUUCUUUGACUAUUAAUGACGUUAAAAUACUAAAUCCCUGUGAUGUGUUUUAGUCGAUUUUAGUGUCUGAUGCAUGAUUUUUUACUAUUAAUUGGUUUUGGCUUUUAACUAGCUGUCAGUAACUGCGAGUACUCUCAAAUCGUAUUUUCUUGUUAAUUCGACCUGUUGAUACUGUUUAUAAUGCUUUUUUUGUUAUUUUUUAUUUAUAUGGAUCUUGUCUG